rnacentral:misc_RNA from 1 species
AUGAGAACUUGCCCUCACGGGUAGAUCUCCCACCCUGUGUUAUUAUACCUUUGUUGCUUUGGCGGGCCGCCCUCGGCUACCGGCCCCGGCUGGUACGCGCCCGCCAGAGGACCCCAAACUCUGAAUGUUAGUGUCGUCUGAGUACUAUACAAUAGUUA